CAGUCGCCACGGUAAUACGAAGGGUGCAAGCGUUACUCGGAAUUACUGGGCGUAAAGCGUGCGUAGGUGGUGGUUUAAGUCCGUUGUGAAAGCCCUGGGCUCAACCUGGGAAUUGUAGUGGAUACUGGGUCACUAGAGUGUGGUAGAGGAUAGUGGAAUUUCCGGUGUAGCAGUGAAAUGCGUAGAGAUCGGAAGGAACAUCUGUGGCGAAGGCGACUAUCUGGGCCAACACUGACACUGAGGCACGAAAGCGUGGGGAGCAAACAGGAUUAGAUACCCCCGUAGUCCCUGUCUCUUAUAA
rnacentral:rRNA from 1 species